rnacentral:snRNA from 1 species
CAUGGGCGACUCGCGAAAGCCCAG